rnacentral:misc_RNA from 1 species
CUAUUCCAUUCCCCCCACCAAUAGGACAGCCUCACCAUUCUUUUACAAUACAUUAUAUUCCUUGUAUAUUAUCAUAUGGGCAUUGAUUUCCUUAUUAUAUGAGACAGGAUUACUUCGCUGCGGAUAUAUUUUAGAGGUCUCCUUAGCGCGGUACAAACACAGUCCAAGAUGUCUAUGACAUCACAUAAAAACCGAUACAAAAACGCUGGCCUGGACUCUCAGGAGUUGAGGCGUAGGCGUGAAGAAGAGGGGAUACAAUUGCGCAAACAAAAACGUGAGCAGCAACUUUCUAAGCGCCGAAAUGUCAACAUACCGAAUAUGCUCAGCGAUGAUGACUGCACCAUGCAAUCGGAAAAAAACAGUAGGGAUGGCAUAACAAUGGAAAUGGUCGAAGCAAUUUAUAGCCCGUCUGUUGAGCUACAGUUGUUAGCGACACAAAAGUUCAGAAAAUUACUUUCGAGGGAACCCAACCCCCCUAUAGAUGAAGUGGUAAAAACUGGAAUUGUACCUAGAUUUGUGCGUUUUUUAGAGGAUUCGGAUAAUGCUACAUUAAAGUUUGAGGCUGCUUGGGCUUUGACAAACAUAGCCUCUGGAACUUCAUUACAGACAAGGAUGGUGAUUGAGGCUGGAGCAGUACCUGUUUUUAUCAAUCUUCUUUCCUGUGGGAUGCUUGAUGUUCAAGAACAAGCUGUCUGGGCUUUGGGGAACAUUGCUGGCGAUUCAGCCGAGUGUAGAGACUUUGUACUCGACUGUGGAAUUUUAAAUCCUCUUCUUCGAUUGUUAGAUCCAGCGACAAGGGUAUCAGAACAACUUUCCAUGAUCAGAAAUGGCGUUUGGGCACUUUCAAAUUUAUGUAGAGGGAAAAAUCCACCACCAGAUUUUGCAAAAGUUUCUCCAGCCCUUCCAGUUCUGGCCAACCUUCUUCAUAGCGUGGACGCAGACGUGUUGGCAGAUACGUGUUGGGCCUUGAGCUAUCUCUCGGAUGGACCAAAUGAAAAAAUCGAGGCGGUCAUAAAUGCAGGUGUUUGCAGGAAGCUUGUUGAAUUACUUAUGCACAACAAACAUAAUGUAGUGGCUGCAGCUUUAAGAGCAGUUGGAAAUAUAGUGACCGGUGAUGACCAACAGACCCAAGUGAUGAUUCAAUGUUCUGUAUUACCUUGUCUAUUAGAAUUGUUACGUUUUCCGAAAGAAACCAUUACAAAAGAAGCCUGUUGGACAAUAUCUAAUAUCUCAGCUGGAAAUAGGCAACAAAUUCAAAUGGUUAUAGAAGCAAAUAUUUUCCCAGCACUUAUAGAAAUAGUAAAACAUGCUGACUUCAAAACAAAAAAAGAAGCAGCCUGGGUCAUCACAAAUGCAACAUGCGGCGGUUCGCCUGAACAGAUUAAAUACAUAGUCGAACAGGGCUGUAUUCCACCUUUGUGCGAACUUUUAACUUUAAUGGAUACAAAGAUUCUUCAAGUUGCACUAAGUGGCCUAGAAAAUAUUUUACGGGUAGGAGAACAAGAAGCAAAAGUCAAUGGAACUGUCAACCAAUAUGCUGUAAUCAUGGAAGAAUGCUGCGGCCUGGAUAAAAUUGAAUUCCUUCAAUCACACGAAAACAUGGAGAUCUACCAAAAGGCAUUUGGCAUCGUAGACAGAUAUUUCAAUGGUGAAGAUGAAGAUACUGGAGUGCUUCCAGAUGUAACUAUUAGCGGAAGUGGAGAGACGGGCUCAUACGUUUUUAACCCCCCAGAUCCAAACUUAAGUAUGCAUGGUUUUCAACUUUGAGCCUUUUUCUAUUUAGGUAUGAUUUUCCAGGCAGUUUUGAAAACAGCAGAAGCUAAGAGACUAACAGUUGUUUCGAUCACACACGUAAAGAGCUUACCUUUAAAAAGUAUUUACUAUCAGUGAAUGAGAGAACAUUGGCUACGUUUAAGCUAAUUAAAGCUCUUAGUAAUUGGAAAAAGAUGGGAAAACGACAGUUUAAACCUGACAAAUCUAGCUAACAAAACUGAGGCAAGUUACCAUGUAAUUUUGGAGUUAGGUUUUGUAUUUUCCCUUUCUUUAGUUUGUUUGAAAGUAAGACUUUAUACAAAAAGUUAGUAAAGUCAAUCAAGAGGUAAUACAAUUUCUCUGUAAACAUAAAAUUCAGACUAGACUUUUUUAAAUUACACUAUUAGUUUAUACAAAUUAUUCUAUAUUUUUUAAAACAUUUUCAAAACAUUUAAUAGGAAUAAACUAAUCUGUAUUGUACACUAGUUCAAAAGGAAAACUAAUCGAAGCUAUGGGUAUUUGCUUUGUAUGUAGUUAACUCGUACAAAUAUUUUUCCUUAUAGUAAACAAUUCUGCAAGUGAAAGAAUUGACUUGCUCGUCGCAAAAAUAUGAUCCAAAAUACACAACUUGGAAAAUCCUCCCCCCCUCAAAUAAUGUACAUUAUUGUAUACAGUUAACUUUGUUUAUAAAAUUAAAGUGUGUUUAACAAAUACUGUGAAGAAUUGUAUGAUUUUCAAAUUAUUGAAUUUUGUCCAAAGUUUGAUGCUUGAUCAAGCCUAGACGGUUGGCUUGUCGAGUGAUUAUUAUAUCAAAGCGCUGGUUUUACUUGGCACCAUUAACAUUGUUAAUUACUUCAAAUGUUUAAUACACACAAUCGUAAACUUUGUUUUGUUACAAGAAAGACUGAACAUUUCUUUUUUUUAUGAUUAUCAGUAUGGUUUAUUAUUUUCGAUCAAAUAUUUAAUUUCUCCUAUUGACAUUUGUAUUGUCUAAAGUAUAAAACAAUAAAACUGAUACAUGGUGUUUUGAGUUUUUUAGUUUUAACUAUUACAACACAUAUCAGGUGCCAUAUUCAUCAAACUGACCAUGAAAACUGAUUAAAAUGUCUUAAUUACUACUGUUAAGGACUAUUUAGUAUUGGGCCAAUUGAUGGUUUAAAAGGACAGAAAUGAAGUUUGUACUUUUACCUAAAAACUAUUGAGUAAUUAAACGUGACAACUAAGUUGGCAUGAAGUUUUUUUUUAAUAUAUAAAUUCCUCAUUAUAUUACAGUAAUAAAAAGUGGAAUAACAGCAUAUGUUUAAUUAUUGUUAAUUGAGAAGUGGUUUAAUUUUUGAAUUUGUUUCCUAUGUGUUAAUGUUGAAAUUUGUUACGAGUUUGGCCAUUGCAGCUGUUUUAUGUAACCCAGAAAGAGAAAAUAAAUCUGUUUUAUGAAUUGUAA